GGGGUUGUGGCUUGGUGGUAGAGUGCUCACCUGGCAUGUGCGAAGCCCUGGGCUCGAUCCUCAGCACCACA
rnacentral:tRNA from 1 species